ACUGCAGGAGCUCCGGCCAAAGCAUUGCCGAGGACCCGUCCCCUAUCCUGCACCUGAUGUCUGUCUGGCUCUCUUUCCCUCUCUCUCUCUUUCUCUGCCCCUCUCUGCUGAUGUUUCUCUCCCUCUCCUUCUCCCCUCUCCUCCCUCUCUCCCCCCUCUCUGUUCUUGAUUUGGUGCCAGAAGCUUUGCCAUUUUCCCACCGUGUUCCAAGGUGUGGAUCCCGGGACAAACGCCGCUGCCUUUUAACGGACGGAGGCAAACAUUCCACAGCAGAGGAAUCUAAAAUUCAGUCUUUAAGGUGUCCGCAAACCAGCCGCCUCGACACCCGUGGAGCUUUUUCAGAAAUGAAGCCCCCGCUCAGACUUUGGGAAUCAGAAUCUGCAUUUUAACCAGAUCCCCAGGGGAUUUGCAUGCAUUUUAAAGUUCUGGAAGCACCCUCUCAAGUGUCCCUGUCUUUGAGACUCGGUGAAAAGGGACGGAUUCAAGCCCCUGGAGUGGCAACGGUUUACAAAUUCCGAUGUCUUGGUUGGAGACUCCAUGGAGAGCCCAAGUGAGUCAUUGCGGCGUUCCAGCUGGCGGCCGGAGCGCGCUGUCACAUGCUGGGCCACGCCGGUGGAGGGCCGAGCUCCAGGAGCAGCCUCGCCAUCCCCUUAGCCUCCAGCAGGGCCCCCCCGCACCCCCGCCUGGUGCUGAGGGCUUCAGACAGCCUUGCCGAGUGCCUUCCAGCCCUCAGUCACCAUGACAGUUAUCACAGGUCAUGAGAGCGGGACGCUUGCACGCACGGGGGCGGGGGGGGGUCCUCCCACCCUGGGAGCCCCGCGGCGGCACCUGGGGUCCAGCCAGAAGCCUCUGCAUCCUGCCCAUCCACAGGACAAGCACCCCCAUACUGGGGGUGCAGCCCCUACCCCCCAGGGCGUGGGAUCUUCCCUGGGCAUUUUCCCUGGGAGGCCCUACCUCCUGGUUCUCCCUCUGGGAUUGCUUGGCUUUUUUUACCCUUGGGCCCCUGCAAUAAUCCCCCCACCCCACCCUGCUCUACAAGUCCUUUGGCUAAAAGGCAAAAUGACCUGUGUUGAACUGUACUUUUUAUAGACUACCUUAAAGCAGUUGACACGUUGACUACCCCUGCGAGCCCAUUUGCUACCCCUCCUACCCCGGGCCGGGAGCUGACCCGGCCCCCAUUCAGACGGCUGUUGGCGGCAGGUGAGUCUGGAGGCCAGGACCUCAGGCAUGGGCACACGUCUCUCAGCGCUUCUCUUUUCUCUCACAGCCUCGAUCGCUGACUGUGUGUCAUUACACACGGGUGUGAGAUUGGUUUCCUUGACUCUGCCCACUAGACUACAAGCUUCCCGAGGGCCGGGUCUGGGUGGGUCUUGUUUGCGGCUGUAGCCCCAGUUUUGGGCUCAGUGUCUGGCUCAUUGAGAUCCUCAAGAGCUCUUCACUGAGCCCGUGGAGGUAUAAACGGAAUGACUCCGUCACUAUGGGGACUCGAAGGCUUCGGGUGAGUUCUUGCACGGUACUGAGAUACGUGUGUGUGUCUGUGGGUACAGGGGCUGGGGGUGGAUUUCCCCCAAAUACAGCCCUCAGAGCAGGGUAUAGCAUUGUGCCUGGGACGUGUGGUCCAGGGUGCACCCGAAACACGCAGGGUCAGCCCUUGUUCGUCUGCUCCUGCCGCAGGUCAAUCAGCCUCAGGCACCGAGCAGACAGCACUCAAUUACAGGCCAGCCUUUGUGGUCAGAGGCUCUGGCUUGCCUCUGAAACCGUCCCAAAACUGGGGAGGGCCGAGCCCCAGCUCCAGGCACACAGGCUGGCCAGGCCUUGGGGCACGGCGUCCCCCUGAGGGUGGGUGAGCGGAAAGGAUGCGUGCGUCUUCAGGGCCUCCAUGGUGGAGGUCAGUGUGGAUGAUACGGGUCGGUCCCUAUCCUAGCUCUGCACCAGGGCUCACCUACACCCAGGAGGCCUGGCUCUUCGAACACGGGUUGGGGGUGCGCUAUGGCUGACUCCUCCCCUCUCUACAUCCCAGAUCUCAGGCUGUACACUCAUGAUGCCUUCACCGGCUCGUGCCUUUCUGCUGGCCUGAGACGCAGCAUCUUCUCUCAGGCUGCAGGCCGUGCUCUGAGGCAGUUAGGGGCCAUUUAUUCAUCCCCAAUGUCCCGUCUUACCGUGGAUGAAGGAAAGUCCUCGGGACGGCAGCGGAUGGCGCAAAGUAGAAGCUGGUUCUCGCAGCUGGCGCAGCCAUAAGACACAGGGGAGCAUUAGCGUCGGCGUCAAGGCUCAACGCGAUCAAUGGUUCCGCUGUGGGCGGAAAGGCACUCUUUCCUCAGCACAGAAGGGAUGUGUAAACUCAUUCACCUACAAGGAAGCCCAUCGUGCAGUCUUCCAGGGAGGGACAGGAUGCUGUCAUGUUUAAUCAGGAACUGGCAGAUUUUAGGGUUCUCUUCCGAGAUACAAGAUGAUGUGCCACGAAGGGCUAAACUGUGAGCAGACAGAGUUUCGGGCUAGAGAGUUUGAUAAAAUCAGUGGGUCUGGAGUAGGUGGAGGGAGCUUUACUGAACAUACAGGCCUCGUAAGGCCCCUGACUUCUGAGUAGCACUUUCGUGAAGGCAGGAAAAGACAGAGCAGCCUUUCAGGAAGAAAGCUGAGUGUCCGCCAAGGGAAAUGUGGCGUGUUUGUGUGCUGCGGACAGCCUUACAAUGUCGUGGGAGGAUGUGUGCCAUGGGUCACAGCCCGCAAGGCCAGGCCCCACUUGGGUGCACAAGGAGGCAGUGUUCCGUCAUGCCUGGGCAAGGCACCUGGAUUGACCGUGCACACUGACGUUUGCUUCCCUGUGAUGGGAGCUACUAACCAGGCUUUGAGUUAGUGUUUCCAAGGGACUUCCAAGGACCCAGCAUCAGAGGAAGUACAGGAGAGAAAAAUACUACAUUAUCAAAGGAAAGAUGGGGCUAUGAGCCUCUCUGGCCAUUUAAAAUAGCAAAAUUAUGCUCUAAGCUCUAAAUACGGACAAUAUGAACUAGAGUAUAUCAGGGAUCCCUUGUGUAAAGAAUACAAGUAAAAACUAUAACAAACUGUAAGCAAACAAAAACACAUAGCUGGAUUUACCUUUUUAAAAUUGGGAGGAGUAAGACAAAUCUGCCUGCUUCUUAUUUCCCCCACAUUUAUUUGCGAUUCUCGGUACCUUUCUACUGAUCAGAAGCCUCUGCUUGAGAACUGCCCCUGGCGAGGAUGUCUCUCUGCCUGAGAAGCAGUUUUAAAAGCAGAGCUGACUUGGAAUUUCUACCUGCUUCCUCUCUUCUCCCCAUCCAGCUCAUAUCCCAAGCUUGGCCUGCUUUCAAAUCAAAAAAAGACUACCAGCAAAUAAGAAGUGAUACUUGUCACUUUAAGAAAGUCACAAAAACACCUGUCAAGUCAUUAGGAUUAAAAAAAAAAAAAUUCUUGGGCGUCUGGGUGGCUCAGGUGGUUAAGUGACUGCCUUCAGCUCAG